AUUCGUGGAUUGGCAUUGAAUAAAAUCAGGUAUUUGGUUGUUUGAAGGGCUUAGGCUGGAAGCAGGCCUAAUUAUCUCUUUUUAGAAAUUUCCAUGUCAACACACAAGGGAUGACCAGUUCACACAAAGCCUAGAAUGCAUAAACAAUCGUCAAAGGUGCACUUGGCAAAAUUGGGCCAAUGCCAAAGGCCUAGUUACAUGACUCAGUACAAUUAAUAUGAGGCAAAUUACAUUUCUUCAUGAAAAUCUUGAGAUCAAAACAAAUACUAACAGUUCUUUCAAGUUUUCAAAUAGAUAUGAAGCAUAUUUAUGCUAAAUCACAGUCUAUAAUGAGAUAUAACCUCUCAUGUUAUAAUAGCUCAAACACCAUUUGUCUUAUCAUUUAAAGCGUAACAGAAUUUGAAUUUCGAACAAAGCAAUGUGUCUCUCUAACCCCUUGAAAGAAGUAAAUUACUCAAUUGAGUCAAGAAGUGUGCCAAAAUGAAUCAAAAGAAGUGCUAAGGGGAAUAUUGAACCCAUUUGAAGAAAAUCAUGUCCUACCUUUAGCCAAAAACCUUCAGAUUGACUCCUCAAAAGCCCUAUAAGAACUUGAGUUGGGGGAAUCCUACAUUAGUGGAUACUUACAUAAGGAGCAAGCAUAUUGUACUUAGAGCCGGACUUAUGGCCUUCUCUUUAAGAGAGAUUAGUGAGAAUCCAUCCACCUCGAUUAGUGUGUGAAUACUCUAAAAGGUGAGGUUCACUUAGGGAGAGUUGAGGAUGUGUGAGUUUGGGUUCCACAAUGACCAAAUUAUUUGAGAAAGGGUUCUAAGUUUGCGAGGGCCAUGAAAAAUUUAAUUUAUGGCAUACCCCAACUUGUAUAGAGUUAAUAAUAAAUUAGGUGAGGGCCAUGAGUUUUGAGAUUUUAUUUGGCAUGGCACGCCUCAAAUCAUUUUAUUAAAAGGGUUCUAAGUUUAGUUUUGAGGGCUAUAAAUUAUAUAUUUGGCUAAUAUAGUACACCUCAAACUAAUUAAAAGAAACUAAUUAAGUAAAUACUAAGAACAUUUGAAUUUUAUGUUAAGCUAAUAUUUGAAACUAAAACUUACUAAUUCGUGGAUUGGCAUUGAAUAAAAUCAGGUAUUUGGUUGUUUGAAGGGCUUAGGCUGGAAGCAGGCCUAAUUAUCUCUUUUUAGAAAUUUCCAUGUCAACACACAAGGGAUGACCAGUUCACACAAAGCCUAGAAUGCAUAAACAAUCGUCAAAGGUGCACUUGGCAAAAUUGGGCCAAUGCCAAAGGCCUAGUUACAUGACUCAGUACAAUUAAUAUGAGGCAAAUUACAUUUCUUCAUGAAAAUCUUGAGAUCAAAACAAAUACUAACAGUUCUUUCAAGUUUUCAAAUAGAUAUGAAGCAUAUUUAUGCUAAAUCACAGUCUAUAAUGAGAUAUAACCUCUCAUGUUAUAAUAGCUCAAACACCAUUUGUCUUAUCAUUUAAAGCGUAACAGAAUUUGAAUUUCGAACAAAUAACUAACACGAUUUCAGAACAGAAAUCAUCUUCUAGCCCGGAUUAAAACUUGUCCACUUUCAUAUCUUUAAACACAGGAAUUCUUAAUGAUUUCAUGCCAAACACGUCAAAAUAUUCACUUGAAAGCUUAGACAGGAGCCUUACGAACCAUGAUUGAGCACAAUUCCAAAAUCAUAAUUCGAGUAUUAUACAAACUUAUAUCUUUAAGCCUAUGAACCCGAAUGUUACUUGGGAAUAAGGUAUUGGGGCUAACAUUAGUUGUAACUUAGAAAAACAAUGACUACCAAAUCAACUAACAUAUAUAAUGCUAACAAAAAGAAAUUAAGAUCUAAAAGGGAAAUCCAAUUUUAUUUAAACACAUUGAAUCCUCCGCUUCAUUUUGCACAUUUCAAAGCUCAAAACAUACCCGAAACAACAGAGAAAAUCAAAUGAAAAAUUCAGCAAAGAAGUUUGAGUGUCAGCAGCUCUAAAAACAACAGCAAGCAAACAUUUAUCAACCAGCUAACACCAUAUCUUGAACCCAAAAUAAGAAUCAACCAGUUACUUCAAAUUUUUUUAAAAUCCAAAAGAAAUCACAGAACAACUUCAAUAUAACAGUUCUUGGAUAACAUACUUAAGAAAUAAGGAAGCAUGACCUUUUAUAGAAACCUUUAGGGCAGCAGAAAUGAUUCAAUCUUUUGCUAGUUACCCCCUCUUUGAAUUUUUGUUCUUGCAUUUUGGACCUUAAGUUUAUGUUUUGUUUGUUAAAAUUACCCCCCUCCCCACUUCCUAGAAGCUUUUUAGGCAGUUAUAAAAGAUUUUCCUUAUCCAGACUCCCUAAAUUACCAUUUAAUUUUACUAAUUACUUUCAGCAAACCAAACCUUCAACCAAAUUUCCUAAAGGUCUUUCGGUUACUAAACUACCAGGUUAUAACGACCUUUGUGCUCCUGAACCAUUGAAACCCAAAUUAUGAUCCAAAAGACCACAUACCACAAAUAUAUAAGCUCAAAAAAAAUUCUACAAUUCCGAGCAUCAAGAGAAAAAUCUAACAAAGCAAAAAAAAGAAAAAAAAAAGUGGGACAACAGGCAAACAUGAAAUCAGAAGUACUGAAGAAAAAAGGUUAAUUAAACUAAUAUGUUGAUAAUCACUAAUAUAACCUAAACCUAAACAUGCAAUAGAGAUCAAAUCAAACUAACAAAGAAAGAAAAGGAAAUAAGAAGAAACAGACAUUAUGCGACCCAAAAUGCAUACAAAAAUGAACAGAAAAGAUAAGAGAUAAAUGGAAAGAAAAUAGAAGAAGAUGAGCAUGACAAUAAACAAAAACAAAAUUGAGGGAAAGCACUGAAAUACCUAGAAUAAACAAAUGGAAAAUGGCUUGAAUGGACUUCAUGUGCUUUUUGAUUUGUGGCAAAAAGAAGUGUUAGUCGAUUUGUUCUUGUGAUAACAAACAUCUAGCACUCAUUUUUGCCAAAAUCAUCUUCGAAGGUUAGAGAACAAUGAAAUCGGACCCUUUUAAUAAGGAAUCGGAGGCAGGAACGGGUCUAGGGUUCCAUUUAAGAUAUGAAAUUAGAGAACGAUGAAAGAGAUUUCGGGGAAAUUGAUAGUGAUUUAGUGUUUGAGGGAUUAUGGGGAGUGUGUGCUGAAUUUUUAGGAGGAUUUGGAGGUCGCCGCCGGCAGGAGAUGUUGAAGAAUUCAGAGGCGGCGUGUUAGGGUUUUGGUCUGAGACGAGAGAGGCAUAAGGAGAUAAGUUUUGUACUAGGUUUCUGAAGGUAUUUCGAAAAUUUUUAUUUAAGAUGGGGGGAGGGGAAUCUCUCGG
rnacentral:lncRNA from 1 species